UACAGAGGGGGCAAGCGUUAUUCGGAAUUAUUGGGCGUAAAGGGCGCGUAGGCGGCGAUUCAAGUGACGGGUGAAAUCCCUCGGCUUAACCGAGGAACUGCCUGUCAGACUGGAUUGCUUGAGGCCGGGAGAGGCGAGUGGAAUUCCCAGUGUAGCGGUGAAAUGCGUAGAUAUUGGGAGGAACACCAGUGGCGAAGGCGGCUCGCUGGACCGGUUCUGACGCUGAGGAGCGAAAGCGUGGGGAGCGAACAGG
rnacentral:rRNA from 1 species